AUUGAACGCUGGCGGCAGGCUUAACACAUGCAAGUCGAGCGGUAGCACAGGGGAGCUUGCUCCCUGGGUGACGAGCGGCGGACGGGUGAGUAAUGUCUGGGAAACUGCCUGAUGGAGGGGGAUAACUACUGGAAACGGUAGCUAAUACCGCAUAACGUCGCAAGACCAAAGAGGGGGACCUUCGGGCCUCUUGCCAUCAGAUGUGCCCAGAUGGGAUUAGCCAGUAGGUGGUGUAAUGGCUCACCUAGGCGACGAUCCCUAUCUGGUCUGAGAGGAUGACCAGCCACACUGGAACUGAGAAACGGUCCAGACUCCGGCGGGAGGAAGCAGUGGGGAAUAUUGCACAAUGGGCGAAAGCCUGAUGCAGCAAAGCCGCGUGUGUGAAGAAGGCGUUCGGGUUGUAAAGCACUUUCAGCGAGGAGGAAGGUGGUGAGCUUAAUACGUUCAGAAGUUGACGUUACUCGCAGAAGAAGCACCGGCUAACUCCGUG
rnacentral:rRNA from 1 species